GACGAACGCUGGCGGCGUGCUUAACACAUGCAAGUCGAACGGUAAGGCCCUUCGGGGUACACGAGUGGCGAACGGGUGAGUAACACGUGGGUGAUCUGCCCUGCACUUCGGGAUAAGCCUGGGAAACUGGGUCUAAUACCGGAUAGGACCACUGCCUGCAUGGGUGGUGGUGGAAAGCUUUUGCGGUGUGGGAUGGGCCCGCGGCCUAUCAGCUUGUUGGUGGGGUGAUGGCCUACCAAGGCGACGACGGGUAGCCGGCCUGAGAGGGUGACCGGCCACACUGGGACUGAGAUACGGCCCAGACUCCUACGGGAGGCAGAAGUGGGGAAUAUUGCACAAUGGGCGCAAGCCUGAUGCAGCGACGCCGCGUGAGGGAUGACGGCCUUCGGGUUGUAAACCCCUUUCAGCACCGACGAAGCGCAAGUGACGGUAGGUGCAGAAGAAGGACCGGCCAACUACGUGCCAGCAGCCGCCGUAA
rnacentral:rRNA from 1 species